rnacentral:rRNA from 1 species
AGAAUCAACGCUGGCGGCGUGCCUAACACAUGCAAGUCGAACGAGAAAGUGGUAGCAAUACCAUGAGUAAAGUGGCGCACGGGUGAGUAACACGUGACUAACCUACCCUGGGGUGGGGGAUAACUGAGGGAAACCUUAGCUAAUACCGCAUAACACCUACGGGUCAAAGGAGCAAUUCGCUUCAGGAGGGGUCGCGGCAGAUUAGCUAGUUGGCGGGGUAAUGGCCCACCAAGGCAGUGAUCUGUA